AUUGAACGCUGGCGGCAUGCCUUACACAUGCAAGUCGAACGGCAGCACGGGUGCUUGCACCUGGUGGCGAGUGGCGAACGGGUGAGUAAUACAUCGGAACAUGUCCUGUAGUGGGGGAUAGCCCGGCGAAAGCCGGAUUAAUACCGCAUACGAUCUACGGAUGACAGCGGGGGACCUUCGGGCCUCGCGCUAUAGGGUUGGCCGAUGGCUGAUUAGCUCGUUUGUGGGGUAAAGGCCUACCAAGGCGACGAUCAGGAGCUGGUCUGAGAGGACGACCAGCCACACUGGGACUGGGACACGGCCCAGACUCCUACGGGAGGCAGCAGUGGGGAAUUUUGGACAAUGGGCGAAAGCCUGAUCCAGCAAUGCCGCGUGUGUGAAGAAGGCCUUCGGGUUGUAAAGCACUUUUGUCCGGAAAGAAAUCCUUGGCCCUAAUACGGUCGGGGGAUGACGGUACCGGAAGAAUAAGCACCGGCUAACUACGUG
rnacentral:rRNA from 1 species